rnacentral:lncRNA from 1 species
AGUUAGUAAGUGGUCUGGUGGAGGGGAUGGUUUCUAGAUCUUUAGUGUAGUGGGUUCGAUACCACUAGGUGUAGUUUUUUUUUUCUUUUAACAUUUUCUUUUACGUUUAUGUUUUAUUACUCAUAGCUUUUAUAACAUAGAUUUGUUUUUUCUUUUUAAUUGCAUCAUGUGUUCGAAGCCAUUUGAAAACUAUAAAAAAUCAUACUUUUCUCGAUUUAAUAUCGAGCCGAUUUCCACAUCCUUGUAAGUCGAUUGCUUUUUAAGCAUCGCCAUCAACCUCACAUAGCUUACUCUUGGGCUUUCUUACAAUGAGCCGGUUCUCUUGCACUUACACUCAUGCGUUG